AUAUAUAUAGUGACUAAUAUGAACAAUCACGGCAAGGCUCAAACAUGGCUCACUAGGGGUUAGUGUAUGGGUAGGAAUUCAAAAGCAGGCCAAAUGGCUACCCUAGUGCCUCUUAUCAUUCACCACAUAUGACACACUUAAUAUCACGACUUCAUGGAUCAUCAAAUCUCUCAAAACAACAAAAUAGUAGAGAGUGCUCUACUCUAUUAGGCUCAAUACCUCACUUAUGUGUAGUUUAGAUUCACUCAUCGCCCUUAUUUUGUCAUUCCAGACAUCAUUUAAUAAAAACACACACUGUCAAUCACAAGUUCUCAAUUCUUAAGUAGAAAAAGAUCAAGUUAUCACACAUAUUCAAAUCUAACAGCAUGCUCCGACAACUGAACUUAUCAAUUACUUGGCCAGAAAACUCACAAAACUCAACAUAAACUGACUCAACAAAAAUAAAGACUCAAAGACGCCCCCCUCACACUUAGAUUUUGCUUGCCCUCAAGCAAACAAAAUAAAGCAUAAGCAAGGGACAACAAGACACACAACGAAAGAGAAAGACAAAGACAUAAACGAAACAAGACAAGAGACAAAACACGAAACAAGACAAGAUAAGGAAGGAAGUCACCGUGUACGCUGCCGCCUCAUCUCCUGUCGAAUGGUGGCGCUCAAGUUCGCAAUGCUCUCCUGUAGGGCUGCCACGUUUUUUUUUUUUUUAACUGAAAC
rnacentral:lncRNA from 1 species